UACGUAGGGACCGAGCGUUGUCCGGAAUCAUUGGGCGUAAAGAGCGUGUAGGCGGCCAAUUAAGUCCUGCGUGAAAUCUCGGGGCUCAACCCCGAGCGGUCGUGGGAAACUGGUUGGCUAGAGUGCGGGAGAGGAGAGUGGAAUUCCUGGUGUAGCGGUGAAAUGCGCAGAUAUCAGGAAGAACACCCGUGACGAAGGCGGCUCUCUGGAACGCAACUGACGCUGAGACGCGAAAGCGUAGGGAGCAAACAGG
rnacentral:rRNA from 1 species